AGUCCAGGCAGCCAGCAGGCCCAGGGCUGGUGUGGCCUGGCCGCUUCCUUUGGCAGCUCUCAAAGUCUAGGGGGAGGGGUCCUGGGCCCACCGGGGUCCGUCAGGCCAUCCCUGCGGCCCCACCUGAGAGGACGGCCCUCUUCAUGGAGCUGGGAUCUGACACUGGCUGGUGCCGACAGCAGACACCAGGCAACCUCAGGGCUCCCUCUGGAUUCCCGACCUGCUUCAGCUCACUGACGCACUGACUUUGGACAAGACACUUACCCACCCUGGGCCUCAGUUUCCCCAGUGCAAAAGGAAGGAGAUUAGGCAGCCGGCCUUUUGUUACCUUGGCGCACCCCUAGGAGACUCUGUGAGGCUCCCCUUGCCUUGUUAAGGGAAUCUGGACCUUGCCUGGAUCAAAAUGGGGUCUGCCCAUCAAGGCCCUGGAGUGACAGCGUCUCUACACGGCUCCAAGAUCUGGACUCCUCCCCCUGGUCCUGUGUCUCUCUCCCACCACCUCAUCCUCCUCUCCAGUUCCAGGACCCAGCUGGCACUCAGUAUAUUGAGUUGGAUGAAUGAAUGAAGAAAUUUGCCCAUCCAGUCGUUCAACAUUUAUCCAGCACAUUCCAUGUGCACUGCUGUGGGUGCUGGAGAUACAGCAGUGAAUAGACUCUUAAUUGUUGACCAGAAUUUCUCGACCUCGGCACUAUUGACAUUUGAGGCUGGAUAAUUCCUUGUAAUGGAAGGGCAUGUCCUAUGUAUUAUAGGAUGCUUGGCAGCAACUCUGGAAUCCACCCACUAGCACCUGUUCCUGACCCCCAAGGCACCUGGCAAGAUUACCCUUUCUUGCUGCCUUUGAAGUUAAAUGUGACCAUGUGACUGGUCUCAGCCAAUGAAAUGUGAUCAGAAACAAUCGGCAUCACACCUGGGCGGAAGCUUUAAGAGUCAGUGCCGUGGCUGGUAUGGAAGCAAAGGGAAAUCUGCAGUCAUGAGGACAAGCACAGGGACAAGCCGACUCAUGUUAGUAGGAGUCAAAUGCAGAUGAAAAUGUGGAGCAACCAGAACUAGACGCUCCUGAUGAAGUGGUGGUUGGUGGGCAAGAUAGAGCCAUGUGCCAAUAACUCAUCAAAGCGAAGACGCCCGUCAUCUGAGAUCCGGAAAUUCCAGUCCUGCACAUUAUCCCAGAGACACUCUCACCCACAGCUGAUGGAGUCCGUGCAUGAACCAAGGCCUCUCCAUGCGGUAUCUCCACCUUUACAGUAACCCUACAAGACCAGAUACUCCCCAAGACCUGAAGCUGUACUUGAUUUUCCUGCAUCCCCUAGUGCCCAGGAGAAUGCCUUGCGUACCAUGAGCCCCCAGUGGUCACUUGUUGAAGAAAUGAACAGGCAAACAAUGAUUAAUGAAUGCAGAAGGCUUCAGGGUAUCCACAACCUCCCUUUAUAAAAUGGGACAAAAAUAAGGCAAUGGUUUCUGACCUCCAGCUGCCCCAAUCACUGAAGGAACUUAACCAAGUAAAGAUUCUUGGAAUCAUCCCAGGAGAUUCUGAUACACCAGGUCUGGAGUGGAGCCCCCAAAGAUGUCAGCUGAAGAAAGUUUCCCUUAGGCAGCCAGAUUUACAAACUGUUAAACCAUAGGGCCUGAAAUCAAGCUGAGGUGGGAUGAGAAGAUGACGUGGACCGUGGGAAAGGGUGAGGGAGACUAUAUUUUGGGGAAUGAAAAGUGGGAACAGCCAUGCCUGGUGUGUGACAUAGUCCCGCAGAUGACCAGCCUCUGGGGCUUUACCCAACUUUGGGCUCAUCAGCCCUUUAGGGAGACAAAGCACUUUAUAGUUUAUGAUACCUUUUCUCCUUCUUGAGCUCAUGGAAUCCUCACAACAGUUCAUUUGAUAGAUGAAGAAACUGAUCAGAGAUCUGCGCAAAGUGCCCGGCAUUGCACAGCUCUAAGUGGGAAAGCCACUUAACAAAACUGCCUCUGACAACAGCCUCCAAUCUGGCUUGAGGCUGAUGCCAUUAGUCAAAGGAACUAGGCCUAUGUCCCCAGGAAAAAUCAGGCUUAACUGACACUUAGAAGCAGUUAUAUUGCCCUGAAGGAGGAUUGUUGACCAGUGGCCAAGUCACCCCCUGUCCCUUACAGGUACUGCUGUCCCAGCCCAGCCCAUCUCCAUCCAUCCAUCCAUCCAUCUGUCUUUUUAUCCACCCACUCACACAUCACCUCUUUCAUCCGUCCAUCCAUCCAUCCGUCAAAGCAGGCAUCUUUCCAGUUACUCAUUCAUCCACUUACCAUAUCCAUUCACAUUUCUCCAUCCAUCCCAUCCAUCCAUCCCAUCCACCCAUCCAUCCAUCCAUCCAUCUUCUUAUUCAUUCAUUAAAUAAACUUCCAUCAAAUUCUACAUGGGACUAGGCCCUGUGGUAACCUAGAGUCGAACAAAAAGAACCAGACAAACAUAGACCUCACCCUCAAGGAGAUUUGAGAUGCUUAUACAAGUAACAGAUUCCCUAAGAGCCAAAAUAAAGAAUCAGUGGAAGCUUGCUAAAGGCAAAACAAGGGCAGGAAAAUAACAAAGCCAAGAAUUAUGUUAGCACAGAGAUACACACACUAUAGCAUCUUAUCCUCACAGUGGCUAAAGGCACCAUCUCAUUGCUGCUGAACUAGAACCCAGAGCAAAUGCAACAACACAAGAGCCACACUAUACUCAGUGGUGGCAGAUCCUGCCCAACAGCUAUUCCUGCUUCCUUAUGACAUGGCAGGAGACCUUUUCGGUGGGCACAACUGACAGGAGGUGUGCUACUAGCAUCUAUUCAGUUGAAGCCAGGAAAGCUGCUCAACAUCCCACGUUGUGCAGGACAAUCUCCUUACUGCAAAGAAUUAUCCAAGCCAACAUAUCAAUAGUGUCAAAGUUGAGGAACCUCUCAGAAGAGAACCCGAAUUUGGUUUGCAGCAGCAUUGGGCCAGACCCUAAGAAAAGACCAUCCUUGGGAAAGUGCUGGCUUUCCCAUUUCUUUCCACUAGACACUCCCUAGCUUUUCUUGAAUUAAGGAAGCUUGCUGGGAGGUUUCUGGGAAAUUUUUGCUUUUAGAGAAUCAAGUGCUUCCAGGAAAACCCAUUCCAGCUUCAUACACUUAAGUGCAAACCUGAUGCCUGAUGCUGUGACAGCCACCUUGGGUCUGUAAUGGGACAAAUCAACAACCAAAAGCCAACACAGUGAGGAUGGCAGAGAAGGGGGAAGGGAAGAGCAUGGACCUGGCUGGCAAGGCUGACCAGUGUCAUAGGGCUCUUUCUUCCUUUUUUAUUUUGUCUUUUUAGGGCCUCACCCCAGCAUGUGGAGGCUCCCAGGCUAGGGGUCUAAUCGGAGCUAUAGCUGUCGGCCUAUGCCAGAGCCACAGCAACGCCAGAUCCAAGCUGCAUCUUCGACCUACACCACUGCUUAUGGCAAUGCCGGAUCCUUAACUCACUGAGCGGGGCCAGGGAUCGAACCCUCAACCUCCUGGAUCCUAGUCAAAUUCGUUUCCUCUGUGCUAUGACGGGAACUCCAGGGCUCUUCCUUAAAACCUGCCUCAAUUCAUUCAUCCAACAGUGAAUUCUGUGCACUUAUUCUGUGAGCAUUGAGCACUUAUUCUGGGUGAGUCACUGUGUGAGACAUGCAGGGCUGAACAAAGCAUUGAAGUCUGUGGCCUCAUGGAGUUUAGAGUCUAGUGGGGAAGAGAGACGUGACAACGUACAUGACAGUUUGAUCAGAGCAGUGAUGAGAACUACAAAGCAGAGUCCAGUGUGCCAUGGAUGCCCUGCAAGUCCAGGGAAGGGCCGAGUUCACCGUUACCACCACACCAAAGAUCAGCUCAUUAAAGACCAUCCUACCGGCUGCAAAACCUGAGACCGCGGUUGCGAUUUUUUUUGUGCUUACUCUGUGUCAGGUGCCAUUCCAAGCACUUGCGUAUUAAUUCAUGCCAUCCUAACCACAACCCUGGCCUCCAUCGCCUCUCCUAAGGCUCUGCCAUGAACCGCGUUUCUCACCCAGCAAUGUACCUCUGCGAUUGCAACCUUUAGAGUUUAUUAUCCCAAUUUCAAUUGAAAAUCCCAGAAAAAGGGAUUUUACUCAAAGCCCUUAUUGUUUUUUUUUUAAUCAGAAAGCGCAUCUUUCCCAGAGCCUCCCAGCAGACUUCCCUAGUUUAAUUUACAGAUGAGACUCAGAGAAGUGUAAGCCACAGAGCUUUAAGAAAGAAAGAAAAAAAGGCAGAUCCAGAAUACUAACCCAGGUUUAUUUAAAAAGCCAGGUCUUUUGCCCAGUAUCUCACUCACACACACACACACACACACACACACACACACACACACACAAAAUGCCUGGCUGUCCCAGGACAUCAGUGUUCUUUUGUUGUUGGUGAUGCAUCCUGCAAAUCUGGCCGCGAGAGCGCUCCUUUCUCUGCCUACCCAAGGGUCAGGACCAGUGGACUAUAUCAGCUUAAAGUCAGGUGAUUUUUUUCAAAGCAAUCUUUAGUUUUCUCUUCUACCCUUGGAGUGAAUCAUGUUUUUUAUCCGAAACAACUGUUUUCAGAAUUACAUGAAUUUAUAGGCACUGAACAUCCAUCACCCACCCACCUGUCCAUCCAUCCACUCAUCCAUCCCCGCAUCCAUCCCCGCCUGACUUUUUGGGAGAUGAUGAGUCUUCCCCCGGCCACCGGGUCAGCCAGGUCUCACAGUUGUGUUUUAACCUUGGAUGUAGCAGCUCAGUCAUGCCCAGCCCUCUAGCCAUGCUAUCUCCUCCAACCACCGCCCCCUGUGAGAUAGGUCCUGUUGUUCUCUCCACUUUACAGAUGAGGAAAUAGAUUUGAAGACGGGAAGUGAGUUGCCCAAGGUCACACAGCUGGUGUGUGGAUAGGUCCCCAGGCUGUUUUUAGUUCUGAUAUUCCCACGGAAUCACAUACUGCUGCUAGAUGAUGGGUCAGAGAAAGAAGCUUUCCUGGACUAGUCAGGAGACCGGUCCCUGGUUCAUUGAGGCCAUCUGUCCUCAGCUAAUGAUGAUAUUAAGUCAUAUUUAUGGAGUCCCAACAAUGUGAGUAGCACAGAGGGUUUACACCCGGCUUUCCUGUAGUCAUGCAAGAAGCACCUAAGACACCCUAUGUCCACCUCAGAGAGAAGGCAAGCAAGGCACGGAAGUGAUGAGUAAUUUCUCUAAAGUCACAGAACAAGAGCCAAGAAACACUGGAUUCCAGAGGCCACGCUCUGCGCAUGCGUGUGAUUUAAAUCCGUUUAAAAAAUGCACCUAAGUUUUGAAAAUCCAAAAUAUGCAAAAAAACAAACAAAAAACACAUUCUCUUGAACCUCCCUCCUCAGAAACAAAACUCUGUGACCAGUCUCUUCAUGUCCUUCCACUAAUUUUCUAUGCAAAUACAAACGUGUGUGUACAUA
ensembl:lncRNA